rnacentral:rRNA from 1 species
GAAACAGGUUAAUAUUCCUGUACUCGGUGUUACUGCGAAGGGGGGACGGAGAAGGCUAUGUUGGCCGGGCGACGGUUGUCCCGGUUUAAGCAUGUAGGCGGAUGUUCCAGGUAAAUCCGGAACGUUAUUAACGCUGAGGUGUGAUGACGAGGCACUACGGUGCUGAAGUGACAAAUGCCCUGCUUCCAGGAAAAGCCUCUAAGCAUCAGGUAACAUCAAAUCGUACCCCAAACCGACACAGGUGGUCAGGUAGAG